rnacentral:rRNA from 1 species
GACGAACGCUGGCGGCGUGCUUAACACAUGCAAGUCGAACGGAAAGCCCCUUUCGGGGGGACUCGAGUGGCGAACGGGUGAGUAACACGUGGGUGAUCUGCCCUGCACUUUGGGAUAAGCCUGGGAAACUGGGUCUAAUACCGAAUACACCUUGCUGGUCGCAUGGCCUGGUGAGGGAAAGCUUUUGCGGUGUGGGAUGGGCCCGCGGCCUAUCAGCUUGUUGGUGGGGUGAUGGCCUACCAAGGCGACGACGGGUAGCCGGCCUGAGAGGGUGUCCGGCCACACUGGGACUGAGAUACGGCCCAGACUCCUACGGGAGGCAGCAGUGGGGAAUAUUGCACAAUGGGCGCAAGCCUGAUGCAGCGACGCCGCGUGAGGGAUGACGGCCUUCGGGUUGUAAACCUCUUUCAGCAUCGACGAAGCGCAAGUGACGGUAGAUGCAGAAGAAGC